UUCAGCAUUUUCAGACUUAGCCAAAAUUUCAGCCUUUUCACCAAUUUUGGUCCGUUUUCACUCGUUUUCGCUCCGUGAGUCUCCGAUUCGUCUCAAAUCGCACCGAGACUCUCAAAACAUGUUUUCGAGCAUAUUUUCAUUAUCUUUUCAUCCACGCCUUGCCGGAUUUCGGCUAAGGUCCAAUCAUAGCCUUUCGGGUUCCGUUUUCGCGCCUACGCGCUCCGAAAACGCCCGAAUGCUUCCGAACUUCACCGGAAUCAUUCUAAUGGCUUUCCAAAACAAUAUCCACCGAAACUUCAUAACUUUAGAAGUUCGGUACCUUACAGAUAUGUCAACUAAACUCUCAUGCAUAUAUCUCACAACAUGUUCAAAUACAUAUGUCCUCUAACAUCUUAUGCAUAUAUCUCACAUAUUCUCACAACAUGUUCACAUACAUAGGUCCACUAGCCUCCCAUGCAUAUAUCUUACAACAUGUUCACAUGCAUAUGUCCUUUAACAUCUCAUGCACAUAUCUCACAUAUUCUCACAAUAUGUUCACAUGCAUAUGUCCUCUAGCAUCUCAUGCAACAUACAUAUACACAUCUAUCUCAACAUCAUGCAAAUAAUACACCUACAAGUAUCAUGCAACAUGGAUCAUCAUCCCUCACACUAAAGCAUAAAUUUACUAAAGACUUAUAGGUUUCUCACAUAAUAACAAUGCAUGAUGCUACAUGAUCAAUAUGUAGAACUUAGACAUAGAAUGAAAUCCGACUAAUUCGGAUAGCACCUCCCACCUCGUGUCGACGUCACGAAGCGGGAAAGCCAAGCUGCGCAAUUUAUCGUCGUCGAUUUCUCCCGACUGCGGCAAACGAAACCAACACGGCAAUUUCUCCAAAUCAACUACCACAAGCUCAACGAAACCUCAAUCUAAGCGAUCCACCACAUCGAUUUUACCUUCAAUUGCGGAAACAUAGGAUCAAUUGAGAUCAAAACCCAUCUAACCACAAAACCCUCAUUUGAAACCCAAGAAACCCAUACAUGGCAUAAUAUCCAAAUCUC
rnacentral:lncRNA from 1 species